rnacentral:rRNA from 1 species
AGUAAUGUAUGGGGAUCUGCCUGAUGGCGGGGGAUAACUACUGGAAACGGUAGCUAAUACCGCAUAAUGUCUGCGGACCAAAGCGGGGGACCUCCGGGCCUCGCGCCAUCAGAUGAACCCAUAUGGGAUUAGCUAGUAGGUAAGGUAACGGCUCACCUAGGCGACGAUCCCUAGCUGGUCUGAGAGGAUGACCAGCCACACUGGAGCUGAGACACGGUCCAG